ensembl:lncRNA
CCAGAACAGACUGGGGGCCACGACAACUGAACGUCAGUGAGGGUCAUAACCAGAACAGACUGGGGGCCACGACAACUGAACGUCAGUGAGGGUCAUAACCAGAACAGACUGGGGGCCACGACAACUGAACGUCAGUGAGGGUCAUAACUAAAAAGGCAUUGUGCCAAAAGAAAGUAAAAGAGACAUCUGGAUAGAUCUGCUAGUUCCAUUUUCAGAUGGAAAAAAUGAAUUCAGGUUCAAUUGAAUAAAGGCGUUAAUUUCAGGGACUUGUCCAAAACUAAAAACAUGAUUUAAAAGUGUUUCACGUUCAUUCUGACAAUAUUUGUGGUUCUGAACGGUUUCCAACAGUCUGACCGACACGUAGCCUGAAAUCCAGUCAUCUUUGUGCUAACAUUCCACUCCUUGCCAAUCCUUGUCAUGCCAAACAGUGGCAAGGAGUGGAAUGUUAAGACAUCCUGGAUUCCAGGCUACCCAUCAGGCAGGCUGACAGAACAGUGAGGGUGUAUCUUAGCAACGAGGGAACAUGAACUGAAUUAUACCAUUUUAUUACUAAAAACAAAAGGCUUCAUCAUGUUUCAUCUGAAAACAGGCUUUACAUGAGCCUACCCACACGUUAGAAAAAUAGAGUUGCAGUUAGGAAUAUGAUGUAUAUCAUAGCAAAAAUAUACGUGGACCUUUCUCUGUGUGGGGAGGCAGGUAGCCUAGUGGUUAGAGUGGAGGGGCGGCAGGUAGCCUAGUGGUUAGAGUGGAGAGGCGGCAGGGUAGCCUAGUGGUUAGAGUGUAGAGGCGGCAGGGUAGCCUAGUGGUUAGAGUGUAGGGGCGGAAGGUAGCCUAGUGGUUAGAGUGUAUAGGCGGCAGGGUAGCCUAGUGGUUAGAGUGGAGGGGCGGCAGGGUAGCCUAGUGGUUAGAGUGGAGGGGCGGCAGGGUAGCCUAGUGGUUAGAGUGGAGGGGCGGCAGGGUAGCCUAGUGGUUAGAGUGGAGGGGCGGCAGGGUAGCCUAGUGGUUAGAGUGGAGGGGCGGCAGGGUAGCCUAGUGGUUAGAGAGGGGCGGCAGGGUAGCCUAGUGGUUAGAGAGGAGGGGCGGCAGGGUAGCCUAGUGGUUAGAGAGGGGCGGCAGGGUAGCCUAGUGGUUAGAGCGUUGAGCUAGUCACCGAAAGGUUACAAGUUCAAAUCCCUGAGCUGACAAGGUACAAAUCUGUUGUUCUGCCCCUGAACAAGGCAGUUAACCCACUGUUCCCCAGUAGGCCGUCAUUGAAAAUAAGAAUUUGUUCUUAACUGACCUUGUUAAACAAAGGUAAUAAAAAAAAAAUGGGUCCUACUUCUCAGGGCUCAGUCCUACUUCUCAGGGCUCAGUCCUACUUCUCAGGGCUCAGUCCUACUUCUCAGGGCUCAGUCCUACUUCUCAGGGCUCAGUCCUACUUCUCAGGGCUCAGUCCUACUUCUCAGGGCUCAGUCCUACUUCUCAGGGCUCAGUCCUACUUCUCAGGGCUCAGGGGUCAGUCCUACUUCUCAGGGCUCAGGGGUCAGUCCUAGUUCUCAGGGUCAACAUACUGCCAUCUAACAGGCUCUGUCCAACACACAGAGGAGGUUCAACAUACUGCCAUCUAUCCUGACAGGCUCUAUCCAACACACAACAUACUGCCAUCUAUCCUGACAGGAUCUAUCCAACACACAACAUACUGCCAUCUAUCCUGACAGGAUCUGUCCAACACACAACAUACUGCCAUCUAUCCUGACAGGCUCUGUCCAACACACAACAUACUGCCAUCUAUCCUGACAGGCUCUGCCCAACACACAACAUACUGCCAUCUAUCCAACACACAACAUACUACCAUCUAUCCAACACACAACAUACUGCCAUCUAUCCUGACAGGCUCUGUCCAACACACCACAUACUACCAUCUGUCCAACACACAACAUACUGCCAUCUAUCCUGACAGGCUCUGUCCAACACACAACAUACUGCCAUCUAUCCAACACACAACAUACUGCCAUCUAUCCUGACAGGAUCUGUCCAACACACAACAUACUGCCAUCUAUCCUGACAGGAUCUGUCCAACACACAACAUACUGACAUCUAUCCUGACAGGAUCUGUCCAACACACAACAUACUGACAUCUAUCCUGACAGGAUCUGUCCAACACACAGAGUGGUGUUGUUUUUCUACUGCUUAUGAAGCUGCUGGUGACUGGUUGUAUUCUUGGAUUCUACAUGAAAUGCUUCACUUAGGCUAGACUGGUCUAUGUUAGAGCAGAAACUGUGUGGCAGUGUUUACUAGGGUCUUCCCAGACAUACUGUAGUAGAUUCCUUUUGUGGUCCACAUUCAGGAUUAAACAGAAGUCUAAACAAACGGAUGGAUCUGGCUUAAGACGGCACUACGCUAGUUUUCUGAGACACACAAUUAUUCAAGGACGUUACCAGCACAAAGAACAACUAUAAAACAAACGGUUUGUAGUUCCAUCUGUACAAGAGACAGAAACACUGAAGUUAAAUUAUUCCUCUCAUUUAGCUCUCCCUCAACAUACUGUUCCACUGUCUGUUCCAUCAACCAGAGUUCAAUAACAGAACUAUUCUCUGGACCGGGACACAGAACCACCGUCUGUUCCAUCAACCAGAGUUCAAUAACAGAACUAUUCUCUGGACCGGGACACAGAACCACUGUCUGUUCCAUCAACCAGAGUUCAAUAACAGAACUAUACUCUGGACCGGGACACAGAACCACCGUCUGUUCCAUCAA